UCCUGUUUGCAAGUGUGGCUUACGGAAAACAAAAAAAAAAAAAGUGGUUUUUCUUUCUUCAUGUGGCUGUGUGCGUGAGACGCGAGAGCGAACUCCCUCCAGCGAACAGAAGCGGGGUUGUUUCUGCUGUGCCGAAGAAGACCGACGGGAAGGAGUUCCGAGCGAUUCAACCAGGCAGCAAUUGGCGGAACGGGAAGAAGAAACUGUAUAGAGUUUCUGUCCUUGGCUUACGCAAGGGAACAGAAGAAGAAUUUACAGGCAUCCUUAUUGAUUAAUUUUUCUUUUCUGAUUUCUUCUGUUUUGGUUGGCUCUCAGGUAGAGAGUAGAGAAAGAAGAAAAAGAGAGAUUUUUCUGAAGUGAUCAAACGGUGUAUCCUCUGCAACUCCUUGGAUGUAGAUAUGCCUGUCAACCUUGCAAACUCUGAUAAUAUUUCCUGAAUAAAGAAACAGCUCCAGAAAGGCCGGAGGAGCAAAGGACCCACUUGCAAGGCAAUCCAGCAGGCCACGCCCACAAGCUAUUCUUAUCAUUAGUCGUC